AUUGAACGCUGGCGGCAGGCCUAACACAUGCAAGUCGAACGAUUAAGACUCCCUUCGGGGAGUGUAUAAAGUGGCGCACGGGUGAGUAACACGUAAGUAAUCUACCUUCGAGUGGGGAAUAACGUUCGGAAACGAACGCUAAUACCGCAUAAUGCAGCGGCAUCGCAAGAUGACAGUUGUUAAAGGAGCAAUCCGCUUGA
rnacentral:rRNA from 1 species